UCCCGGUGACAGGUCACAAUGGUUGAGGGGGCUGUUGGUAGAGAAGAUCAAAGUUAUUUCCUCUUUCACUCAACCAAGGAACCAAGCCUCUUCAGCACAAUGAUCUGGCCAGGCACAAGGAAAGAACACUAGUUCCACUUCCUGUGGGCUUCUAAGGCAAAGGCCAGAAAGACAACCAGUGCUCAGACAAAGUCUCACCAUAGUCAGCAUGGGACUAGUUCCACUUCCUGUGGGCUUCUAAGGCAAAGGCCAGAAAGAAAACCAGUGCUCAGACAAAGUCUCACCAUAGUCAGCAUGGGACUCGUUGUUAAAGCCGCAGAUACCAGGAUCCACCUGAAAGUUUGAGCAGUUACUUGAAAUGAAAGCAGUCAAGCCAGAACAGACUAUUAAAAGAUCCUAAACUCCCUUUAACUGUUAAACAACCAGGUGUCGUGAAGUACACAGAGCAACAUGUGAAAUAUUCCUACAAAGAAGCUUUCACUCGAAUUUAAUUAAAAUUGGAAAUUUGUCUUCCAGUUUAUUGAAGAGAGGGCAACAGUAAGAAACAAUUAAGAAGCACAAAUCCAGACAAAUCUAAAAUGUAGAACAUUCUGUAAAAGAAUAUCUUAUUUCAUCCACAAGCUAAUGGAGAAGUAAGAAAGUAAUGUGAUUGUUCUAAGUGAAUGGAGAUCUGAGAAAAGUAAUAUGACCAAUCCUAUAUAGACUCUGGUUGGUUCUUGUUUCAGAUGUGUCUGUGUAAUGGUUAAUCUUGGUUUCAACUUGACUAGAUUGAGAGAUGUCUAAAAAAUUGGGAAAUCACACUCCUCAGUGCAUCUUUGAGGGUUUUCCAGAGAUGACUGGCAUAUGGGUCAGUGAACUGAUGCAGAGAUGUUGGGAGAAUACCUUCCCUGAACAUGGUGGCACCAUCUAAUAGUCUGGAGGCCCGGAUGGGACAAAAAGUGCAAGGGGAAAUUCACCUAUGUGCGUAUGUUAGACUUUUGCUUUGAUUUUACUGCCUUCAUUACUCAUAUCAGACGCAGAUUCUUAAGGCUUUGAAAGUGGACUAUCACCAGCAACUCUCCAGGGGCUUUCAUCCCUCCAGCCUUGGACUGGGGCUGCAUUAUUGGUUUCACUUUUUUGGGGGUCUUCUGGCUUCUUAGAUUGACAACUACUGAGUUCUCUGAUUCUCCAGUAUGUUAGGGUCCAGGCUGUGUAGGUGCUAAAUUGCUAAACACUGUCCUCUCUGGAUGUUCUGGCGAGCUCAUAUCCACAGACUCUAAAAGACAAGAUAACCCUGCAGCUGUGGGCUGCUGAACAUCACUCAAAGGAUUCAAGAAGAAUAAACUGUCCAUCUUAAAGAUGAACCGAUUCUCUUAAUUAGCAAGAUUUACCGCCUUUGUUCCAACUUCUCAAGUCCCUGCUCAUUUUCACUGGCUUUUGCAUCAGAUGUGCCCUGUACUUCCUGCAUCCCCUUGAACUGUGCAGGAGACAAUAAAUAUGGGUGAUCCAGAGAAUUCCUUGUCUUAGCUCCUGACCUUCCUGGACCCUACAAAUCA